UUCGGAAAAACAGACGGGAGUUUGUUUUGGAAAGUGCAGACUUCCUCGGGCUCUUUCCCAAGUGGCGCUUAUUGCGGCACGGAUUUGGUUGCUGGAUGCAUUUUUUUCCCCCGAAUUCUGCUUGACGGAGAUGAUACGAUAUUGCCAUGAUCAUAGGUGACUCCGUUUUGAAAGCUUUUGUCCUUAAAUUGUUCUUACUAGGGCCAAAUUAGAGGAUCGAUGGAAGGCUGAGUCAAUCUUGAGCCCUGUCAGGAUCAAAAUCCAGGCUGUGGGCAGUUUGCUGCAAUACCGCACUUUAACCCCUACACUAGAAAGGAAUGACCAAAUUCUUUGAUUGAACAGCAGUUAUUGGGACUCAGAGAUAAGUGGAAGCAAUGAAGCAGUAAUGUUUUUAUGG